GAUCCUGCCAGUAGUCAUAUGCUUGUCUCAAAGAUUAAGCCAUGCAUGUCUAAGUACACGCCGAAAUUAUGGUGAAACCGCGAAUGGCUCAUUAAAUCAGUUAUGGUUCAAUAGAAUAUGAGGCCACUAGGAUAACUGUGGUAAUUCUAGAGCUAAUACUUGCCUGAGUGCCCCUGGGAACAGAACCCGGGAGCAAGCAUUUAUUAGACUUAAGCCGCCUGAGACCUAUACGGAACAAAUCUCGGGACAGUCAAUUUUGUGAUGAACCUGUGUAACUAAGCAAAUCGCUUAGGCCUUGAGCCGGCGAUAAUUCUUUCAAGUGUCUGCUCUAUCAACUGUCGAUGGUAGGUUAUGCGCCUACCAUGGUUGUAACGGGUGACGGAGAAUCAGGGUUCGAUUCCGGAGAGGGAGCCUGAGAAACGGCUACCACAUCCAAGGAAGGCAGCAGGCGCGUAAAUUACCCAAUCUCGGAACGAGGAGGUAGUGACGAAAAAUAACGAUACGGGACUCUCUUGAGGCUCCGUAAUUGGAAUGAGAACAUUCUAAACACCUUAUCAAGGAUCUAUUGGAGGGCAAGUCUGGUGCCAGCAGCCGCGGUAAUUCCAGCUCCAAUAGCGUAUAUUAAAGUUGCUGCGGUUAAAAAGCUCGUAGUUGAAACCUGGUGCACUGGAGAAUAGUCGGUAUUGAACUGGCGCCUCUCGCUGUGGACAUCCGGGGUGGUUGUUCUGAGUCCUCUUAAACGAGGGCUUAGGGUGCCAUCAUAUAUCACUCUGAUAAAACUAGAGUGCUUAAAGCAGGCCUUGUGCCUAAAUAUCAAUGCAUGGAAUGAUGGAAGAGGUUAUUGUUCCGUUUGUGGCUUAAGGAUACGAUAAGAUGAUCGAGAGGAACAGCCGUGGGCAUUUGUAUUGCGGCGACAGAGGUGAAAUUCUUGGACCGUCGCAAGACAAACUACAGCGAAAGCAUUUGCCAAGAAUGUUUUCAUUGAUCAAGAACGAAAGUCAGAGGUUCGAAGGCGAUCAGAUACCGCCCUAGUUCUGGCCAUAAACGAUGCCAACUAGCAAUCCGCAUGAGUUGUCUUUUUGACUCUGCGGGCAGCCCCGGGAAACCAAGUAAGGUUCCGGGGGAAGUAUGGUUGCAAAGCUGAAACUUAAAGGAAUUGACGGAAGGGCACCACCAGAGGUGGAGCUUGCGGCUUAAUUUGACUCAACACGGGAAAUCUCACUCGGGCCGGACACUGAAAGGAUUGACAGAUUGAGAGCUCUUUCUUGAUUCGGUGGAUGGUGGUGCAUGGCCGUUCUUAGUUGGUGGAGCGAUCUGUCUGGUUUAUUCCGAUAACGAGCGAGACUCUAGCCUAUUAAAUAGACGUGAUGAUCCUGUCUCAUCACGUGUACCUUCUUAGAGGGACAAGUUGCUUUCAGCAACACGAAAAAGAGCGAUAACAGGUCUGUAAUGCCCUUAGAUGUCCGAGGCCGCACGCGUGCUACAAUGAAGAACGCAGCGUGUAGUAUUCCUUGUUUGAGAAAACUGGGUAACCCCGGUAAACUUCUUCAUGAUUGGGAUUGGGGCUUGAAAUUGUUCCCCUUGAAAGAGGAAUCUCCAGUAAGUACUGGUCAUCAGCCAGUGUUGAUUACGUCCCUGCCCUUUGUACACACCGCCCGUCGCUACUACCGAUUGAAUGGUUUAAUUAGGCCUUCCGAUUGACCCCUCAUGUGGCCUUCGGUCGCAAGAAGGGUUGAAAAGAUGUCCGAAUUGCAUCAUUUAGAGGAAGUAAAAGUCGUAACAAGGUUACCGUAGGUGAACCU
rnacentral:rRNA from 1 species